CACGUUGGAGUAAAAAACGCG
rnacentral:misc_RNA from 1 species